GUCUACAGCCAUGCCACCGUGAACAAGCCCAAUCCCAGCUGAUCUCAGAAGCUAAGCAGGGUCAGGCCUGGUUAGUACUUGGAUGAGAGACCACCUAGGAAGACCAGGUGCUAUAAGAG
rnacentral:rRNA from 1 species